rnacentral:rRNA from 1 species
AUUGAAAGCUGGCGGCAGGCCUAAAACAUGCAAGUCGAACGAGUGGCGGAGGGGUGAGUAAGGUCUGGGAAACUGCCUGAGGGAGGGGGAUAACUACUGGAAACGGUAGCUAAUACCGCAUACCAUCAGAUGUGCCCAGAUGGGAUUAGCUAGUUGGUGGGGUAACGGCUCACCAGGGGAACGAUCCCUAGCUGGUCUGAGAGGAUGACCAGCCACACUGGAACUGAGACACUGUCCAGACUCCUACGGGACGCAGCAGUGGGUAAUAUUGCACAAUGGGCGCAAGCCUGAUGCAGCCAUGCCGCGUGUAUGAAGAAGGCCUUCGGGUUUUAAAGUACUUUCAGCGGGGAGGCGUUACCCGCAGAAGAAGCACCGGCUAACUCCGUGCCAGCAGCCGCGGUAAUAC